AUUGAACGCUGGCGGCAGGCCUAACACAUGCAAGUCGAACGAGUGGCGGACGGGUGAGUAAUGUCUGGGAAACUGCCUGAUGGAGGGGGAUAACUACUGGAAACGGUAGCUAAUACCGCAUACCAUCAGAUGUGCCCAGAUGGGAUUAGCUUGUUGGUGGGGUAACGGCUCACCUAGUCGACGAUCCCUAGCUGGUCUGAGAGGAUGACCAGCGACACUGGAACGGAGACACGGUCCAGACUCCUACGGGAGGAAGCAGUGGGGAAGAUUGCACAAUGGGCGCAAGCCUGAUGCAGCCAUGCCGCGUGUAGGAAGAAGGCCUGCGGGUUGUAAAGUACUUUCAGCGGGGAGGCGUUACCAGAAGAAUAAGCACCGGCUAACUCCGUGCCAGCCGCCGCGGUAAUAC
rnacentral:rRNA from 1 species